GGGGACGUUUUUUUUUUUUUCUUUUCGUGGAGUUUAUUAAUAAGAAGAAAGAAAUAAGAGAGAGAGAGAGAGAGGGUUUGGCUGGCAUGCUGGGAAAGACCCUGACACGAGGGUAGAAAGUGGCGCGCUAGCACGGAAACUCGGGCGAGUUUAGCGCCGUGGAGCUUCGAACACCACCAACGAGGCUACUAAGCAAAGUCCAAACUCUCUGGCAGAGGGAUGAUAAACGCUAAGGGAUGUUACUUUAUCGAUCCAUCAACAAGAUCGUCGAAGAUGUGAACCUUUUGCCGAGAACUCUGUCGCAUGAGGGGUUCCAAGGUUUGAGUCAAGUGGAACGACGAACGUAGAAAAUCGAAAAACGUCAAAGAAAGAAAGAAA
rnacentral:lncRNA from 1 species